CCUACGGGAGGUGCAGUGGGGAAUAUUGCACAAUGGGCGCAAGCCUGAUGCAGCCAUGCCGCGUGUGUGAAGAAGGCCUUCGGGUUGUAAAGCACUUUCAGCGGGGAGGAAGGCGUUAAGGUUAAUAACCUUGUCGAUUGACGUUACCCGCAGAAGAAGCACCGGCUAACUCCGUGCCAGCAGCCGCGGUAAUACGGAGGGCGCAAGCGUUAAUCGGAAUUACUGGGCGUAAAGCGCACGCAGGCGGUCUGUCAAGUCGGAUGUGAAAUCCCCGGGCUCAACCUGGGAACUGCAUUCGAAACUGGCAGGCUAGAGUCUUGUAGAGGGGGGUAGAAUUCCAGGUGUAGCGGUGAAAUGCGUAGAGAUCUGGAGGAAUACCGGCGGCGAAGGCGGCCCCCUAGACAAAGACUGACGCUCAGGUGCGAAAGCGUGGGGAGCAAACAGGAUUAGAUACCCCGGUAGUC
rnacentral:rRNA from 1 species